AGAUUGAACGCUGGCGGCAGGCCUAACACAUGCAAGUCGAGCGGUAGAGAGGUGCUUGCACCUCUUGAGAGCGGCGGACGGGUGAGUAAUGCCUAGGAAUCUGCCUAGUGGUGGGGGAUAACGUUCGGAAACGGACGCUAAUACCGCAUACGUCCUACGGGAGAAAGCGGGGGACCUUCGGGCCUCGCGCCAUUAGAUGAGCCUAGGUCGGAUUAGCUAGUUGGUGAGGUAAUGGCUCACCAAGGCGACGAUCCGUAACUGGUCUGAGAGGAUGAUCAGUCACACUGGAACUGAGACACGGUCAGACUCCUACGGGAGCAGCAGUGGGGAAUAUUGGACAAUGGGCGAAAGCCUGAUCCAGCCAUGCCGCGUGUG
rnacentral:rRNA from 1 species